rnacentral:rRNA from 1 species
GGCCGCGGUAUAUUGACCGUGCGAAGGUAGCAUAAUUAUUAGUCUUUUAAUUGUAGGCUGGAAUGAAGGGUCGAACAAAAAAUAAACUGUCUUUAUUUAAUAAUUUGAAUUUAAUUUUCAAGUGAAAAAGCUUGAAUAUAUUAAUUGGACGAUUAGACCCUAUGAAGCUUUACAAGGAUUUGGGUAAUUAUAGAUUAUAUAAUUUUUUUAUUUAAAGGUUGUUUUGUUGGGGUGACAUAGAUAUAAAGAGUAACUGUUUAAAAAUAAUAUCUAUUAUGUUAGUUGUUGUAAUAGAUCUUUUAAUAUGAGAUAAAAAAUUAAGUUACUUUAGGGAUAACAGCGUAAUUUUUCUUGAGAGUUCAUAUCGACAGAAAGACUUGCGACCUCGAUGUUGAAUUAAGGUAUCCUAGUUGGCGUAGGUGUUAAAGUAGGAGGUCUGUUCGACCUUUAAAUCCUUACGUGAUCUGAGUUCAGACCGG